rnacentral:rRNA from 1 species
AACGAACGCUGGCGGCAUGCCUAACACAUGCAAGUCGAACGAGACCUUCGGGUCUAGUGUCGCACGGCUUCGUAACGCGUGGGAACCUGCCCUUAGGUUCGGAAUAACUCCCCGAAAGGGGUGCUAAUACCGGAUAAUGUCUUCGGACCAAAGACUUAUCGCCUUUGGAUGGGCCCGCGUUGGAUUAGCUAGUUGUUAGGGUAAAAGCCUACCAAGGGGACGAUCCAUAGCUGGUCUGAGAGGAUGAUCAGCCACACUGGGACUGAGAAACGGCCCAGACUCUUACGGGAGGGAGGAGUGGGGAAUAGUGGACCACGGGCGAAAGGCUGAUCCAGCACUGACGCGUGAGCGAUGAAGGCAUUAGGGUUGUAAAGCGCUUUUACCCGGGAUGAUAAUGACAGUACCGGGAGAAUAAGCCACGGCUAACUCCGUG